rnacentral:sRNA from 1 species
CCAGAGCCUUGAUCGAUGUGAUAUUUUUUUUUUACUUUUCUCUUAAAAAAAGCGAAGAUAAAAUGAAGAGAAGAAGCUAU